rfam:Trichobilharzia regenti genome assembly, scaffold: TRE_scaffold0000518
AGUUAGCUGACGAGUCCCGAAUAGGACGAAAUGCGCGUUAUCCUGGAU